AGAAUUUGUAGAGUUUGGAGGGAUUCCAAGUGUCAUUCAGUCCCACCCUCUAUCAAUUCCUGGGCUUUAAAGUAAGAAAAGAUAAAGCUAAAUAUAAUACUAUGUGAAAUAGUAAUGAAUUAAUUGCCUGACAAUUUGCUGUUGUUUAUGAUACCCCAAAUUAUGAUGCCACCUCACUCUCCCUAAUGGUAGGGCUGGCCCCAGCCUUGGCUCCCUUCCAACAGCUCUCACUUAUUUCAGUUUUAUACUUCUUCAACAGUUAUGGCUUUGCCCAGUGAAUUCUGGGAAUUUUAGGCAGGUUAGCUACUAGGAAUGCUCUGUUCACGAUCCCUCCCCUCAUGGAACUACAAUUCCCAGGGCAUGGGGGAAGAGGUAAUGAGUUGGGGAACCAGUCUUAAGCCUGCAGUGUGAACCUGUAGCAAGAUUUCCAUUCUUUCUCUCUUUCCUGGCAGGGCCGCUGUUUCCAAACUCUUCCAACGUGCACUUCAUCGAGCGGCACAGGGAGGCGUUAAUCCAACGGACCAUCCCAGUGGAACCAGUGCUGGAUAGUUUGCAUGACUCCGUCCUCAGUGAGGAGCAAUACCAAAAAAUCACUGCCAAGGAAACUAACCCAGACAAGAUGCGAGAGCUCUACAAGCUUGUGCCAAGCUGGGACCUCCAGUGCAAGAAUAAGCUGUAUGAGGCACUGAAGGCCAAAAAUCCACAUCUCGUGAAAGACCUGGAAGGGCAGUGAGGCCCCAAGGGAAGGCAGAAGACAAGACCCUUUUCAAGGCACCACAAAUCCACCUCCUUAUUGCUAGGGGACUCCUGAAGACAAAGCCAUACCAUGUAUUUUCCCAAGAACUUACAUGCAUACCCUCCAAUAUUCCCAUAAGAACUGGAGUGUGAUUGGAGGAGGCUGUUCUCUACUCUGUCAAGGCCUUCAGCUUUGUUGGUGCUGAUGUCAUUGGGAGUGGACACUGGAUGGUUGGGGUUGUGCGACACUCCACUGUCACCUCAUUCUCCUUAGAACUACUGUGUGAGGAAGAGAGAGUGAGACUGAAUGCUUCCACAGCUGAGCUACGGUUGGGUCUCGUGGGCUUCCAUUGCUCCAAGGAGGAGGAGGACAACGACGACAACAACAACAACUUCACACCACAACCGCAGCCCUCACUGGCCACCAUCCAUCAGCACAAAGUUGAGUUGCGGAGCCUCUUGCAGCUGCUGCCCAACCCUUCUCAAGGCUUCAUUAUCCUCCUCCUUGUACAUUUUACUUCAGACGAUGGAGCCGUGACCUCAGAGGCGGCAUGGCUCUAGGACUGCCACACUGGCUCGGGUGCCUGCAGGCUCCGUGCUGCCCAAAACAGCACCGUGGGGCUUGCAUCUGCCCGCUGGAGGUGGUGGGUGGACCCCAUGGAGGUUCCACGCAGUGUGCCCCUGCCCCAGCUCACCCCUCCCCAUGGACAGCUUGCCCUGCCCCCAUGGGUGACUCGCCCUGCCCCCAGGCGCAAGGCGUGGGCACCGGCACGGGCACCCAAGUGGCUAGCUAUGCCACUGAUGAAUUCCUUUCCUGGUUCAAAGGGUGCAGGUGUUGCUGUGUUGAAAAUACUAAACUAUCACUUGCAAAUAAAUUAGUUUUGUGACUUA